rnacentral:rRNA from 1 species
AUACGUAGGGUGCAAGCGUUAAUCGGAAUUACUGGGCGUAAAGCGUGCGCAGGCGGUUUUGUAAGACAGAGGUGAAAUCCCCGGGCUCAACCUGGGAACUGCCUUUGGGACUGCAAGGCUAGAGUACGGCAGAGGGGGAUGGAAUUCCGCGGGUAGCAGUGAAAUGCGUAGAUAUGCGGAGGAACACCGAUUGCGAAGGCAAUCCCCUGGGCCUGUACUGACGCUCAUGCACGAAAGCGUGGGGAGCAAACAGGAUUAGAUACCCUGGUAGUCCACGCCCUAAACGAUGUCAACUGGUUGUUGGGUCUUCAUUGACUCAGUAACGAAGCUAACGCGUGAAGUUGACCGCCUGGGGAGUACGGCCGCAAGGUUGAAACUCAAAUGAAUUGGCGGGG